UCUAGAAGUUAAACUGUUUGUGCCCUUAUGCUCUCAGUAUGAUAUGAACCAAACUAAACCACACCAAGACUCUCUGUGGUGUUCUGUGGCAUUAGCAUUGUUUGCCAGGCAAUGUGUGGAGUCCCAUUACCACAGGCAGCAAUUUCUUUUGAACAAGACCAAUGCAUCUGCUCCAUUCCGUGGCCCUGAUGGAACUGAUAACGGAUAACAACAAAUGAUGUUUUUUCUCCUUAGAAAACUGCAGGGCUGCCCGUGCGCCUCAGAAGAUGGACCAGCAAUACAGCUGUACCUGCACUAAGUUUGCUUCCUUGAGCAGAUAGCAGUAAGCUAUCUGCUGCUGAAAUGUCAGUUCAAGCUGUUCUCACAGGCAUUAAUCCAGG
ensembl:lncRNA